UAAUACGUAGGUGGCAAGCGUUGUCCGGAAUUAUUGGGCGUAAAGCGCGCGCAGGCGGUCUCUUAAGUCUGAUGUGAAAGCCCCCGGCUCAACCGGGGAGGGUCAUUGGAAACUGGGAGACUUGAGGACAGAAGAGGAGAGUGGAAUUCCAAGUGUAGCGGUGAAAUGCGUAGAUAUUUGGAGGAACACCAGUGGCGAAGGCGGCUCUCUGGUCUGUUACUGACGCUGAGGCGCGAAAGCGUGGGGAGCAAACAGGAUUAGAUACCCUGGUAGUCCACGCCGUAAACGAUGAGUGCUAAGUGUUAGGGGGUUUCCGCCCCUUAGUGCUGCAGUUAACGCAUUAAGCACUCCGCCUGGGGAGUACGACCGCAAGGUUGAAACUCAAAUGAAUUGACGG
rnacentral:rRNA from 1 species